ACCAAGCCUUCGAUGGAUAGGGGUUCUGAGAGGAAGGUCCCCCACAUUGGAACUGAGACACGGUCCAAACUCCUACGGGAGGCAGCAGUGAGGAAUAUUGGUCAAUGGGCGGUAGCCUGAACCAGCCAAGUAGCGUGAAGGAUGAAGGCUCUAUGGGUCGUAAACUUCUUUUAUAUAAGAAUAAAGUGCAGUAUGUAUACUGUUUUGUAUGUAUUAUAUGAAU
rnacentral:rRNA from 1 species